AGGAGAGGGAGGGGGUGGAGGGGGGAGCUGAACGGAAGCGUGAUGCGAGACUUAGGAGUGAACUGCAGCCUGGUCUCUAUAAAUCAAUGCUAAAAAACCUACACAUCCAUAUUAACCAGGAGACAUUGUGCGAGACUCCAUCCAAAGAAAGGGGGAACCACCCCAUACGGAGAUCUCACGACCGUGAUAGACAUCACCAGAACCGCAGUCCUGACAUCUGACAGCAAUCAAUGGAUACACAAAAUGCACCUAAAGAGGGCCCCCACCCCAUGAGGAUUACUCCACAGGAUACACCAUCCUCAGAUGACAACGGUGACCCCCCCCUUGAGGCCCUACCCAGUCCUCGCCCAAGGAAACGGCGAUCGAGUCUGAAAAUCUACCUCAUCAUUUUCCUCAGCAAAAUUCUUGUUUUAGCAGGAUUUGUCUACUUAUCAUUUUCCUUAGCACCAUGUGUGCACAUCACCAUGAGGAGUUACCCUGUUUGUGUGGACAGUCUCCGGACCGCCCCAACAGGAACAUAACAGUAGACAAGAGAGCAUUAGACAUACAUGAUGACAAUUUGUGGGAAUACAUGGCACGGAUUGUUCUUAACACUAGUUACAGGUGUUUAAAGGAUGUCACUAGUGCAACUGAACUGAUUGAGACUUGUUUUGUAGCUGUUGCUACUCCCACCAUUGUGCUUACUGACAUUUUCCAUGCUAAAAAUGACUCUGAAGUGCAAGAUUCUGAUAUUGAAACACAUGUCUCUGUAUAUGCUUAUGUUACAGAUCAAAAUGCUACUAGACGCAUGCGAAAGAAUUUUGCUUCCAUAGUUACUCACAAUGUAACUGCAAGUGACAUAUGCUAUAACAUGACUUGUAAUGUUAGCGACAUCACUGUGUGCAUUCAGGCACGUUUGACUAAGAGUACUGACCCGCACCCAGUGUGCAGUAGGAUGACUUCUCAAUGCAAUCAAUCACCACAAUUAUGUCAUGUAAUCAUACCAUCCUGGCACCUAGUUUAGCUAAGCAUGUGCCAAUGCCCAGAGGUUGGUUCUGCUCUUGUAGGAACAACUCGUUUAAUUACAUUCCAGCUAAUAUUUCUGGUGGACCCUGUGCAUUAACUAGACUUAGUUUAGCUGUUCAUACAGCUCACCCCGGACAGGCCACCCAGGCCCAGCGCCCUAAUAGAGGCACAGAUUAUGAAUACAUACCUAGGAUUGCAAGACACUUAAUGUCUAAGUCUGAAAUAAUAGCGCUAGGAUUCUCACUGGUAGGAGUACCAGGAUUGACUGUAUAUCAGGGUAAACAAAUUAAUGAAAUCGCUUGCAUCAUAGUUAAGAGCAUUAAUGCUGCCAGCAUUGCAAUUGCAAAUCUAUUGACUGACAUAGGAGACGCUAGAAAAGUUGUACU